GUCAUAGUAUGGCAGUGGAUACAACGACAUAGUAAAAUAAGGCCUAAAAAUGCCAAAAAACAUCAUAGUAUAGUAUGGCAAAAAAUGUCAUAGUAUAGUAUGGCAAAAAAUGUCAAAAAACACUAUAGCAUUUUAAGGCAUAAAAUGUCAUAAAAACGUCAUAGUAUGGUAGGGGAUACAACGACAUAGUAAAAUAAGGCCUAAAAAUGUUAAAAAACAUCAUAGUAUAGUAUGGCAAAAAAUGUCAAAAAACACUAUAGCAUUUUAAGGCAUAAAAUGUCAUAGAAAUGUCAUAGUAUGGUAGGGGAUACAACGACAUAGUAAAGUAAGGCCUAAAAAUUUUAAAAAACAUCAUAGUAUAGUAUGGCAUAAAAUGCCAAAAAACGUCAUAGUAUAGUAUGGCAAAAAAUGUCA